rnacentral:rRNA from 1 species
GAUCCUGGCUCAGGAUGAACGCUGGCGGCGUGCUUAACACAUGCAAGUCGAACGAAGCAGUUAUACGAUCCUCGGGGUGACGAUUACUGACUGAGUGGCGGACGGGUGAGUAACGCGUGGGUAACCUGCCUGUACAGGGGGACAACAGUUGGAAACGACUGCUAAUACCGCAUAAGCGCACAGCUUCGCAUGAAGCAGUGUGAAAAGUUAUUCGGUACAAGAUGGACCCGCGUCUGAUUAGCUAGUUGGUGAGGUAACGGCCCACCAAGGCGACGAUCAGUAGCCGACCUGAGAGGGUGACCGGCCACAUUGGGACUGAGACACGGCCCAAACUCCUACGGGAGGCAGCAGUGGGGAAUAUUGCACAAUGGGCGAAAGCCUGAUGCAGCGACGCCCGCGUGAGCGAAGAAGUAUUUCGGUAUGUAAAGCUCUAUCAGCAGGGAAGAUAAUGACGGUACCUGACUAAGAAGCACCGGCUAAAUACGUGCCAGCAGCUGC